ACACACUUUCUCCAACAAGGCCACACCUUCUAAUCCUGCCGCUCCCUGGGCCAAGCAUAUGCAAACCAUCACAGGGGGUAACUAGUAUCCUGAAGAAAUAACACUCACACCCUUAGGAAGAUUAUCCAAGCCAUUUGAACUCAUAAUAGAGAAGCACAGCUUGAUUCUGCGUGCAAAAAUCUACAAGUCACCUGGUUUGGAGCCACCAUGAGUGAUUUGCCUUUGUUUUUACACUUGAUCUUAGCCAAAGGGCCGAGAAGCAAUUGCCUUUGUUUUUAAAGAAAAGAUUCCAAACAAGGAAUGCAUAGGAUUCUGAUAGUUUAUAUCAUCCCUCAAACCUUCACUGCCUCUCCUCCAUCUCAGAAAACCGGAGUCAGUAAAUGGAUGUAUGAUGUCCAUGGUUUAGUUAAAACGAAGCUCCAAAUCUGUCCAGGUCUCUGCUGUAGCAAAGCUGCUGACAUAGUUGUCACGUACCUUCUAAGAGAUGCCCCGAGGCAUCGCAUGGACCUAAGGCAUCGGAGCCACAGGGCCUGUGUUUGCAUUUUAUACUUAACUGAGCCUUGUAAGUAAAGUGGUUCAACUUAGGAAGGUUUUCUAAGCUAGUGGGUAGAGCAGAAGAGAUUUCUUGUAAUAGUUAAUAACCAGGAAGCUCAGGCUUUCUGAUUAAUUGUGGCUUUCCUCCGUCUUGGUAUUUGAUAGCUUUCCUACAGUUUGGUUCAAAAGCUACCUCGAUAUCAUUAAGUUAUGUUGCAGUGUUCAGUAUUUGAGUCUGUUCAGCAGGGACACUUGAAAAAUCACCAGCUAUUUUUAAAAGCUUGUUUGUUUUCACCAGCUGUUUUGGGUUAAGAGGGUGUUUACAUCUUGAUGUACAGAAUGAAACAGCUAUAAGUAAUUUUUCCUGUAUACACUGCCAUCUUUCAUUACUUGGAAUGUCAUCCCCGAGAAGGUACAUGACAGCCAUGAUGUUAUGGUCCUAGAGAAUCUGUUCAGUGUCCUUGUGAGGUGUGUGUGGCUGUGUUCAUCCUGUGUGGAUGCAAUGGAGUAGCCUCGACUUACGUGUCCCAUAGCUAAGCACAUGUGUUCUAAUCAUGCCUCGGGCUCUUUGACUCUAUUUGUGCAACAGUCUUUCCCAGUGUGUGUUAAUGGAUGUUUAUCUUAAUUAAGCCAGCUCUGAAAUGCUGCCUGUUGGCUGUGCCAAGAACAGACAAUGUCAUAAUCUAAAAGUAUUUGCUUACUUUAUUGGUCUGGGUUUGAAACAUUCAUACUGAGUCUUUCCCUGAAAGAACAACAUGCCAAGAAAAGCAUUAACAAAAUCUGUUAACAAAAUCUGAACAGAAAGGGAGACAGACCAGAGUAGUGAAGUACAAAGAAGGGCUCGGAGGGUGUGACUCGGUGUCCAGAAGCUAGGGUCAGAAGGGAGCAAGUUAGACAGGGUCCUGUCAAAGAUAAAACAAAUUCCAGAUAAGACCUCUUGUUCUGAUGAAUUUGGUAAAAAUGUUCUUACUUGGGGUCCUGGGGGCGCUAAAAUGAGCAGAACUCCUAAACAGACACUGUAUUUGCACAUUGUGUGGAUUAUCUAUUUGUUGCAGGUUUCCAUUUCUCUCUCUCUCUCCCUCUCCCUCCCUCCCCCCCCCCUCUCUCUCUGUCGUGUGUGUGUGUGUGUGUGUGUGUGUGUGUGUGUGUGUGUGUGUGUGUGUGCGCGCGCGCGUAUGCAUGAUCAUGUGUGGGGAUUUUAUUUUGCUCCUAUAAUUAAGAAUUCUUGCCCUGAGCUAAGAACACAUACCUGUUAAAGCUUGAAAAUCCGUUUGAGACAAGUGAAUUAUGGAGAACUUUUACCCAGUUGUAAUUUAGAAAACAGAUGUUCUAUUCCAGGUUUACUACAAUUAUUUUUGCAAUGUAGGUUGUUUUGCACACCUGACUCAAGCCUGGAAGAGUACAUUUUGGUUAGGUCAUGUCAGGAAUGUCUCUCAGCUGUGGCUUUGCCAGGCUCUACAGAGGCCCCUCUGGUGCAGACCCAGGGUGACUUCUCUGUGCUCUUGUAGUGUGCUGAGGCCCAGAUGGAUACUUACUUGGCUUAACCUAAGGACACACUCUGAACUGCUGGAUUUCCAGGGGAGCAUGUGGAGUAUGUGCUUGUCACUCGCUAUUCAACAAACUGAAGUCACUUUGUUAGAGCUGCCAUGAAGUUAAAGAAUAAAUAAAUAAUUUCAAAAGCAUCCACCAUGUGACCAAAGUGAACACUUCGGCUCACCACAGACCACAGGUCACUCCUGAGUGCUGCACUCUACGUCAUGGUCAGGGUCUCUUAGUCUUUUUCUCCACUGCUCGAGGAAGUGGAACCAUAAACACUGGUGAGUAGAACCUGUUCUGUUGUUCAAGUUGGAUUUAAUAAUUUAAUAAUAUCCUCACUGAAGAUCAGCAAGAGAAUCCCCUGCAACCCUAAGGGUUCUGAAUGGGUUAGUGAGGACCAAGCAGGCAGGAGUGCGGCAAAAAUAUGUAAGUGCCACUUGCGAGAGGCGUUUGAUCAUGUUCAUCCUGCUCUGGGGCUGCUGGCUGAUAGCAGCCCCUGCUGCUGACUCUUAAGUCAUGUCCAGGAACCUCUAGGCAGGUGAAAUUCAGUAAGUGUUGGCCCCUGUGUGCUUGGAAGCCAUAUGCAUCCUGUUUAUAAUAGUGGCUGUGAUUGACACAUUGGUACCUGGUGUCCUGUGCUUUGGCAAUGCUGGUGUGUAAACAGUUACCUCUGCACACCUGAGAGACUCUAAGAGACUACAGAGAGGAGUUCCUGGAUCAGUACUGUAGCAUCACAAAUCCUUCCUAGCAUUGCCUUGGCAACAAACAGUAUUUUCAGCCCAGCCUCACCCCUGGUUCACAUUUGCCCUUUUCUACUGUAUUCCAUGGCACAGCAAUGCAGGCGUCACCCAAGUUCACGGGACUCAGUCAGGGACCAUCUGAGAUCAGGAGACAGGAAUUGUGCCUUCCAUACCCAUGAGGGUCCUCCGACUUCCCCAGCUCUGUCUUGGCCAUCUGACUGUUUUAUGCCAGCGCUCUGUGUCAAGGCUAGGUUACAAACAACCUUGCCUAACGGUGAACAAACAAUAUGUUGCCUUUGUACAUUGCGCUCCAGUAAUGCUUAUCUGUGCCUUUAGUAUUUCUGUGUGGUGUACCUUAAGGCAGCCUGGGAGCAGGAAACACCACCUCAUUUCAUUUGAGAGAACAAAACGUGGGUCAAUAAUGACUUUGGAUGGUACCAUGCCAAUUGGCAGUGGUAUUGAGUUGCCACUUGGGUUUGGGUUUUUAUUUAGAAGUUGGUGCACAUCUGUCUAUGCUGUCUUGUGUCUCAGAAGGGAAAUUCUUGGCAUAUAUAAUAGCAGUAGAGAGAGUAUAGAGCAGACAUAGAAGGAAAAUAGAAUUGUGUGUUCUACAACAUGUCUCUGGGUAUAGCCAUGUUGUCUUCACAGCAAUCUCGAAGGCAUUCUUUCCUACAGAUGAGCUGUCCAAGCCCUAAAGAUGUCACACGGCUUCACCCACAGCCAGUGUGGUCCUUGGUUGGCACCAGGAUUGUAACCCGGAUUGAUCUCACUAAGAACUCAUGCUCUUAGCUACUAGAUAGUCUUAAACCACAUCACAUAGGAGCCUGUAUAACCACAUGUGUAUGCAGGUAUACACUUUUUACAUGCUAAACAGUCAAUGCCAACUUCUGUGGUAAGACAUCCUGAAAGGAAUAAAAUAGUUGGCUAAAAUCCCUGAACUUCUAACCAUAACAGGACAGAUGCUCAAGGGUAUGGGAUUAGAGCACCUAGGUCAAGGCAUCCAGACAUUUUAGUGUUUGUGUUAUUGGUGAGUCACAUGUUACAGGCCCUUGCUUUCCUAAGAUGCUGCCAGAAUACUCUGGUUCUUUGGCUUGGAGUAAUUUUGUGACAAUUCUGCUGAGAGUCUCUAUGUGUGAAAACAGGAAACAGGGAAUAGCUUUCUACCACUGCGACUGCUUGGAUUUAGACUCCCUGGUUCUCUCCUACUUGUGCUGUGAUCUUACAGGUUUCUGAAACCUUUCUGCCUUAGUUUUCUCCUGUGCACACUGAGUAUGGUUGUGAUUGUAAAGUGAAUGGAUAUAGGGAAAGCCCUGGGACCAGCACCAGGCAGAAAGCCAUGGCCACCAUGCUCAUGAAUGUGAUAAAUCUUUGCACAAAGCUCUUUAGAAGCCUUCCCUAGGGGAGGAUUCUGUUGCAAUGUCUAGCAUGCGGUGGUGCCCUAGCCAGACACAUGUGUGGACUUACGGACAGAGCAUACAUCCAAAGAGGGAAAGGAAUUGAGUGACCCAUGCCUGCUGUAUGUCGGGUGCUCUGUUGAGGAAAUAUUUCAUUACACACUUUAAUAACCUGAAGAAGGGAUGUAGUGUUACCGUGAGAGGUAAGCGAUGCCUUUCAGUCUCCCUCCCAGUCUCAAGGCACAGGUAUGCUGGGGAUCCCUGUCCUAUCCAGUAUGGCACAAGAAUCCAGGCAUCAACAGACUUUGCUUUGAAUAUAGCUGUCUGUGUACCUGACAGUCCCGGAUGCUACCUUCCCUGGUGCCUCUGUGAGUCCCUAUUGAUAGGAAGGUGAGAGGGAGGAAGUGAGCAGCCAGCAGCCUGCAGCCUACAGUUCUGUCAACCGAAAGGCAUUCUUGAAAAGUACAAAUAUAGCACGGCUAUAAAAAGAUUAAGGUGCACUGCUCUGAAAACUGAGAACCAGUAGGGAGUGCCAUGGUGGCCAACUGACAAAGUGGAGAAGCAAAUUUUGCAAAACUGGAAAACCAGGGAAAGUCAGGCUAAGUGGAGACGCUGACAAAUCAGACUACAGCUAGCCAGGCCUGAACUAGAGGCUGGCAAGCAGAAAACGGUAAGCGGUGAGGCUCCCUGAGGGAUUCCAGUGAGUUCUCUUUCUUUGGAAGCAUGACAGGGGUCCUGGGGACCAGUGAACUGUCACCAUGGGCUGGGGUGUUUCUGCCCUGCUCACUAGCACUGCAGAACUGAGGUGGAGUGCAGGGAGGCUCCCUCCUUGGCCUGUGGGCUUCCUUUUUAACCUCUACUGUCCUCCUCUCUCCCUUUUCUCCACCACUGUGUGACCUCCCCACCUAGGCCUCCCCAGCCUGUGGUUCAGAGCUUCAAGGCAGAUCUCCCAGUAAGCUGUCCUGCACCGCUGCUACUGAGGACAAAGCAAGCAAAGGUCUUUUCUGACUUUGGUUUAGAGAAAUUAGGUAAAGAGCUGCACAGAGAGAAUGCCAGAGGGGAAACUUGGAGGCCUGCCAGGCUGCAAUCCUCACGGAACUGUGUUCUUGUAUGGGCUAGAGGCCCUGCAGGUGAGAAGGACAGUUAGGCAAGAUAGCAAAAAGAGCCAUGUAUGUGUGUCCUGACCCCCAACCCAAAGCAGAAGCAGAACCCUGAGGGCUUUUAGAAAUCUAAAAGGAUUUCCUUCAACUUUUAAAAAAAUUACACAUUCUAUAUUGUGCACGUCUGUGCCACAGUGUAUGUAUGGAGUCAGAGAGCACUGGGAAUCAGCUCUACAUCCCACCAUGUGGUUCCAGUGACGGCGCCGUUCUGCUGAGCCAUGGCAACAACUUGCUCACUCACUGUUGCAUCAAGGAGUGACAAGCCUGUUCCCAUAGACCUUGGCUAUGGCAGGACAUUCUGGGUAAAUGGUAAGCUGCUUGUAAACAUCCUAGCAGUCUCGGGUGUACUAAUGUUCCCCUGACCUGCCACCAGCACGGAAGAGAAAAACUUCUCCAAGCAUUCAUGCAUUCAUUCUUUUUAAUGUGACAUUUUGCUUUAGGAGGUGACACAAAACCAUGGUUUUCUGGAGUCGUUUGUUGUCGCUGCUACCAUCCUCUGGCUCAGGAGCAGCUAGGCUUCUUGGCACCACUGCUCAGCAUUCCAUCUCCAGUGUCCAAGCGCUUUCCACCCAGACUGACCACAUCGCCAACCAUGCUGAGCUCAGAUUGCUUCUAUUCCAGAGGCCAUGCCACCAAGACUGCUCAGCUGCCUGCUGGUAGAGUCUGUCAUUCCAUCCAGGGUGUUCCAGUCCAGUUGUUGAGACAGGCGUCCAGGAGAAUACCAAGGACUCUAGCAGGCUGCCUGAACCGAUCCUCACUGAUGAUCUAGACAGAAGGAGUUCAGACCGAAGUCACCACCCAACCAGGUCACUGAAGUUCACAGGAGGAAGCCCUGAAGUCUGGUUUUUCAAGUCCCCUCCUCACACAGCUGGGGCGACAGUUUACACUGAGGUGCCCAAGACUCCACCACACCACUCCAUUAGACCUGGCCUAUGGCCUACAGACUUAUCCCUCCACCAAGAGCCCUGGAGGACAAGAGUGGGGACAAGAGAGGAAAAGAUGGCUGGCCAGAGGGAGGGAAGGAAGGAGGCAGAAGGACCAAGGUGAAGAUUCCUGUCUACCAAACUUCUGAUCAACAACCUGAAACGGUACGUUCUAGACUUGAAGAGUUGAGCUUUCUCAACACAAGAGAAGAGGAACUGAAUUCACCUCCCAACAGCCUCAGCAGCAGCUCACAGGUAACUUUAGCUCCAGGGAAUCUAGUGCCUGCUUCUGGCCUCUGAAGGCAGCCACAUUCACAUGCAUGGGGGCAGACACCACAUGUAUGUCAACCUAAAAGCCAAGCCUCCCCACCCCCAAGAAUAAAGUCUCUUUGAAAUUUAGAAAAAAUAACCUUUAAGAGUAUUCUAGCUGUGGUGUGCUUUAAAAAAUUAUUGUGGCUUUUUUUUUUAAAUCACUACAUAGCUCAGACUAGUCUUGAAUUCUAUCCUCCUGCUGCAGUCUUCCAAGUGCUGGGAUGACAGACUUGUGCCAGAAUACUCUCUAUUGUAAUUUUUUUAUUGUUGUAGCAAAAAUACGACACAUUUUGCCAUCUUAAUGUGGCAUUUGUUACAGGCACAGCAUUGGAUGAGCAUCACUGCUACCAUUUCCAAAACUCUUUCAUUGCUCUGAAUGGAAACACAUAGACCAGAAACUCCCAUCCUGCCACCUUUAAUCUACUUUUUGUCUUACAAGUUUGUCAAUCACAGAUAAUUCCAUAUUUGAAAUAAUAUACUAUAUGAAGGGGGCCGCCUGGCUUCUUUCACUCAGCACUGUCUCCAAGGCUCAGUCACGAUGUAGCAUGUGACAGGACAUGGCUCUUCCAUGCACUCAAACACUAGUUUAUCAUGGUUACCUGCCAUGUUUAUGACUUGUCGUCUGAAGAUGGGCAUCGAGUUGCCUCAUUAUUAUAUGCAGGGUUGAAGACAGUAAACUGUCUGCGAGGCUUUGACAGCAACACAGCCAAACCAGAACUACUGACCAGAGGACCAUCAGGGUCACAGCCUUGAAGGAGAGACAACACCCACCCUUCAACAUAGCAAAGCACCCAACCAUCUUCUCGGGAAGACAGAACCACCUUUAACCCACACACACAACUCCUAAGGUCCCUACCAGAUGCUCCACCAAGGCUUUUGUCUGUGAGGCAACUAAGCAAAUAGAUUAGUGAAGGGCCCUGUUUGGAGAGUGGAGAGUCCUUGACUGUUCACUGAUGGAGACAAUGGAAGGAGACAAUAGGAAGGAAAGGGGACAGAAGCCCUGGGUCAACUACUCCUUAGAAAUACAGCCUGGACAGGAAACUUGGUAUGCCCAAGAGAAAACCAAGAUAAAAGAGAACAGGAAGCCAAGCUCUUGGGCGUCAGCCUCGUGGCCAUUCUAAAACUCUGCGCCUCAAUGGAGCCAUAUCCCUUAUCUGCAUACUCUAGACUCAUCUCUAAUCUCAGAGAAUGUCUCUUCUCCACGUGCACUCUCUACCGAAUGCUCACUGACCGAUCCUCUGUUUCAGGCUCUGGCUAGCAGCCCUCUUAUCACACCUGACACUGAAGCAGCAAUGACAAUCUUGUCACAAAGACUAACAAGGGCUUAAUGAGGCAGCCAAUAGGAACAGCCUGGACUCCAGUUGGGCGUGAAGUCAGUUCCAGUUGUGGACCAGCACUGCGUACUCCUGUGUCCAUCACCUGAGCGAACUGUGAUGCUCAGGUCUUGGCAAUGUCCCCUGCCACUGGGAGGAAGCCCUCUGGGCGGCAUGUCAGGGAG
rnacentral:sRNA from 1 species